AAUAUUGGACAAUGGGCGAAAGCCUGAUCCAGCCAUGCCGCGCGUGUGAAGAAGGUCUUCGGACUGUCUAGCACUUUAAGGUGGGAGGAAGGGCCUUAGGUAAAUACCCUGAAGCUUUGACGUUACCAACAGAAACAGCAACGGCUAACUCUGUGCCAGCAGCCGCGGUAAUACAGAGGGUGCAAGCGUUAAUCGGAAUUACUGGGCGUAAAGCGCGCGUAGGUGGUUUGUCAAGUUGGAAGUGAAAGCCCCGGGCUCAACCUGGGAACUGCUUUCAAAACUGGCAAGCUAGAGUAUGGCAGAGGGUGGUGGAAUUUCCUGUGUAGCGGUGAAAUGCGUAGAUAUAGGAAGGAACACCAGUGGCGAAGGCGACUACCUGGACUGAUACUGACGCUCAGACACGAAAGCGUGGGGAGCAAAC
rnacentral:rRNA from 1 species